rnacentral:rRNA from 1 species
UAGGGAAUCUUCGGCAAUGGACGAAAGUCUGACCGAGCAACGCCGCGUGAGUGAAGAAGGUUUUCGGAUCGUAAAACUCUGUUGUUAGAGAAGAACAAGGACGUUAGUAACUGAACGUCCCCUGACGGUAUCUAACCAGAAAGCCACGGCUAACUACGUGCCAGCAGCCGCGGUAAUACGUAGGUGGCAAGCGUUGUCCGGAUUUAUUGGGCGUAAAGCGAGCGCAGGCGGUUUCUUAAGUCUGAUGUGAAAGCCCCCGGCUCAACCGGGGAGGGUCAUUGGAAACUGGGCGACUUGAGUGCAGAAGAGGAGAGUGGAAUUCCAUGUGUAGCGGUGAAAUGCGUAGAUAUAUGGCGGAACACCAGUGGCGAAGGCGGCUCUCUGGUCUGUAACUGACGCUGAGGCUCGAAAGCGUGGGGAGCAAACAGG